CGUAAUAUUUAUAAAGCAGCGUGUUUCUUAAAUUUUCCAAACAAAUCACUCUAUUUACGUCGUUUCAAAGCCAUUAUUCGACCUUCUCUAAACUGCAGCGCGGGCACAGAAUUGUUCGAACACAACCAAACAUCGCCUAAUCAACAUUAACUUUAAAUUUUAAGCAAUAACCUAUUUCGUUCGAAAACAAUUGUCGUUAGAGUGCAUU